UUACAGGUAACCGACUGGUCCACACCGUCC
rnacentral:sRNA from 1 species